CCUACGGGAGGCAGCAGUGAGGAAUAGUGGUCAAUGGGCGCGAGCCUGAACCAGCCAAGUAGCGUGAAGGAUGACUGCCCUACGGGUUGUAAACUUCUUUUAUAAAGGAAUAAAGUGAGGCACGUGUGCCUUUUUGUAUGUACUUUAUGAAUAAGGAUCGGCUAACUCCGUGCCAGCAGCCGCGGUAAUACGGAGGAUCCGAGCGUUAUCCGGAUUUAUUGGGUUUAAAGGGAGCGUAGCUGGGUUGUUAAGGCAGUUGUGAAAGUUGGCGGCUCACCCGGAAAAUUGCAAUUGAUACGGGCAGUCUUGUGUACAGUUGAGUUAGGCGUCAUUCUUGUUGUAGCGG
rnacentral:rRNA from 1 species